rnacentral:rRNA from 1 species
GACGAACGCUGGCGGCGUGCUUAACACAUGCAAGUCGAACGGAAAGGCCCUGCUUUUGUGGGGUGCUCGAGUGGCGAACGGGUGAGUAAAACGUGAGUAACCUGCCCUUGACUUUGGGGUAACUUCAGGGAAAUGGGGCUAAUACCGGAUAGGAGAUACUGCUGCAUGGUGGGGGUUGGAAAGUUUCGGCGGUUGGGGAUGGUCUCGCGGCUUAUCAGCUUGUUGGUGGGGUAGUGGCUUACCAAGGCUUUGACGGGUAGCCGGCCUGAGAGGGUGACCGGCCACAUUGGGACUGAGGUACGGCCCAGACUCCUACGGGAGGCAGCAGUGGGGAAUAUUGCACAAUGGGCGGAAGCCUGAUGCAGCAACGCCGCGUGCGGGAUGACGGCCUUCGGGUUGUAAACCGCUUUCGCCUGUGACGAAGCGUGAGUGACGGUAAUGGGUAAAGAAGCACCGGCUAACUACGUG